rnacentral:tRNA from 1 species
CUUUAAAGGAAACUAGAAACCC